rfam:Aedes aegypti strain Liverpool supercont1.399 genomic scaffold, whole genome shotgun sequence.
CCAUCGGUCCUUUUCAGGGCCAUCAAAUUAAAAAAGUUAAAAGAGA